CUUUAUCACUGACUUGUCAUCAGUGCAUUUCUUCAUCUGGAAAGAAGAAACCGAUAACUUGUGCAAAUCAGUGUCUUACUGCCACCAUUUCUGUGGAUCGAUGGGGUAUAAAAUCUUCAAAUGCUGAUACGAAGACUUGCAGCACACUUGCGCAGAUGCAUGUUAAUGGGAGCAUGAACCUGGGAGAGAUGAAAAUUACCGUCAAUGCCAAAUGUUGCAAAGCUAUUGAAUGUAUUACAAAAACAACCUCAGAGACAAAGUCAGAGAAAAACGUUAUGAACAAUAACAAAAAGUGCUAUACCUGUAAAGGUCACAGCUGCUUAGAAACUCGAAUGAGCUGUAAAGGAAAUGAAGAUCGCUGCAUUACAGCAUCAGUUAAACGAGGAAGUGAAACUCUUCUCAUGAAAGGAUGCAUAUCCAACAGCCUAUGUACUGCUGCUGGAUAUAGAACAGCAAUUGGUGCAACAAGUUUAAAGUGUUGUCAGGGAAACUUGUGUAAUGGUGUGGAGAGGUUCACGCUGAGUUUGAUUCUCAUGAUCGUCCCUCUCCUCUCCUCUUUCCUUCUUUACUGAAAUAUCCUUUGAUGGAGCAGCUCACUUAAAGAAAAUCCCUAUUUUUAUUUAUUGUAUUUUUGUGGCGUAUAUACUGUGGUAUAUACUUAAAUAGCAUAUUCAUGCACUAUUCAUGAUAAUUCUUUAAAAGAAACCACCUAAUACUGUAUGAUCUGUAAAAAAUCUUAUUAAAAUAUAAAAA